rnacentral:rRNA from 1 species
GCAAGUCGAACGAUGAAGCUCCAGCUUGCUGGAGUGGAUUAGUGGCGAACGGGUGAGUAACACGUGAGUAACCUGCCCUUGACUCUGGGAUAAGCCUUGGAAACGAGGUCUAAUACCGGAUAGGAGCACUCAUCGCAUGGUGGGUGUUGGAAAGAAUUUCGGUCAUGGAUGGACUCGCGGCCUAUCAGCUUGUUGGUGAGGUAAUGGCUCACCAAGGCGACGACGGGUAGCCGGCCUGAGAGGGUGACCGGCCACACUGGGACUGAGACACGGCCCAGACUCCUACGGGAGGCAGCAGUGGGGAAUAUUGCACAAUGGGCGCAAGCCUGAUGCAGCGACGCCGCGUGAGGGAUGACGGCCUUCGGGUUGUAAACCUCUUUCAGUAGGGAAGAAGCGAAAGUGACGGUACCUGCAGAAGAAGCACCGGCUAACUACGUGCCAGCAGCCGCGGUAAUACGUAGGGUGCGAGCGUUAUCCGGAAUUAUUGGGCGUAAAGAGCUCGUAGGCGGUUUGUCGCGUCUGCCGUGAAAGUCCGGGGCUUAACUCCGGAUCUGCGGUGGGUACGGGCAGACUAGAGUGCAGUAGGGGAGACUGGAAUUCCUGGUGUAGCGGUGGAAUGCGCAGAUAUCAGGAGGAACACCGAUGGCGAAGGCAGGUCUCUGGGCUGUAACUGACGCUGAGGAGCGAAAGCAUGGGGAGCGAACAGGAUUAGAUACCCUGGUAGUCCAUGCCGUAAACGUUGGGCACUAGGUGUGGGGGCCAUUCCACGGUUUCCGCGCCGCAGCUAACGCAUUAAGUGCCCCGCCUGGGGAGU